UACGUAGGGUGCAAGCGUUGUCCGGAAUUAUUGGGCGUAAAGAGCUCGUAGGCGGUCUGUCACGUCGGCUGUGAAAACCCGGGGCUCAACCCCGGGCCCUGCAGUCGAUACGGGCAGACUAGAGUGCGGUAGGGGAGACUGGAAUUCCUGGUGUAGCGGUGAAAUGCGCAGAUAUCAGGAGGAACACCGGUGGCGAAGGCGGGUCUCUGGGCCGUAACUGACGCUGAGACGCGAAAGCGUGGGGAGCAAACAGG
rnacentral:rRNA from 1 species